CCAUAUAACACACCUCUUUGAAAAUGACCGUCAUUUUUCUCACCUCUCAACAUUGGAAAGGGAGAUGGCUUUUCGCACUGAAAUGGGACUAUAUUAUUCCUAUUUCAAGACUAUUGUGGAAGCACCCUCAUUUUUGAAUGGAGUAUGGAUGAUUAUGAAUGAUAAACUGACUGAAUACCCGCUUGUCAUUAAUACAUUAAAAAGAUUCAAUCUUUACCCUGAGGUAAUUUUGGCCAGUUGGUACCGGAUUUAUACCAAAAUAAUGGACUUGAUUGGUAUUCAAACCAAGAUAUGUUGGACGGUUACCAGAGGAGAAGGACUCAGUCCUAUUGAAAGCUGUGAAGGAUUGGGAGAUCCUGCUUGCUUUUAUGUUGCUGUAAUUUUUAUUUUAAAUGGACUAAUGAUGGCAUUAUUCUUCAUAUAUGGCACAUAUUUAAGUGGCAGCCGAUUAGGAGGCCUGGUUACAGUGUUGUGCUUCUUUUUCAAUCAUGGAGAGUGUACCCGUGUAAUGUGGACACCACCUCUCCGUGAAAGCUUCUCAUAUCCAUUUCUUGUUCUUCAGAUGUUGCUAGUGACUCAUAUUCUCAGGGCUACAAAACUUUAUAGAGGAAGCUUGAUUGCACUCUGCAUUUCCAAUGUAUUUUUCAUGCUUCCUUGGCAGUUUGCUCAGUUUGUACUUCUUACUCAGAUUGCAUCAUUAUUUGCAGUAUAUGUUGUCGGGUACAUUGAUAUAUGUAAAUUACGGAAGAUCAUUUAUAUACACAUGGGUAUUCUGGCAAUGAAACCACAUUUCCUGAAAAUAAAUGUAUCUGAACUUAGUUUAUGGGUUAUUCAAGGAUGUUUUUGGUUAUUUGGAACUGUCAUACUUAAAUACUUGACAUCUAAAAUUUUUGGUAUUGCAGAUGACGCUCAUAUUGGCAACUUACUAACAUCAAAAUUCUUUAGUUAUAAGGAUUUUGAUACUUUAUUGUAUACCUGUGCAGCGG
rnacentral:lncRNA from 1 species